rnacentral:rRNA from 1 species
AGCGAACGCUGGCGGCAUGCUUAACACAUGCAAGUCGCACGGGCAGCAAUGUCAGUGGCGGACGGGUGAGUAACGCGUAGGAACGUGUCCUGAGGUGGGGGACAACCUCGGGAAACUGGGGCUAAUACCGCAUAUGGGCUGAGGCCCAAAGCCGAGAGGCGCCUUUGGAGCGGCCUGCGUCCGAUUAGGUAGUUGGUGGGGGAAAGGCCUACCAAGCAUGCGAUCGGUAGCUGGUCUGAGAGGACGACCAGCCACACUGGGACUGAGACACGGCCCAGACUCCUGCAGGAGGCAGCAGUGGGGGAUAUUGGACAAUGGGCGAAAUCCUGAUCCAGCAAUGCCGCGUGGGUGAAGAAGGUCGUCGGGUCGUAAAGCCCUUUCGACGGGGACGAUGAUGACGGUACCCGUAGAAUAAGCCCCGGCUAACUUCGUG